rnacentral:rRNA from 1 species
GUGUGUGGCCAUACCACCUUGAACAUGUCCGAUCCUGGAAGCUAAGCAGGGUCGGGUCUGGUUAGUACUUAAAUGGGAGACCGCCUGGGAAUACCAGGUGCUGCAAAAA